ensembl:lncRNA
GUAGGUAUCCCAGGCACUGCCUGCACCAUCUUUAGUCACAAAAUAUCUCAUUAUUUAGUGUAAGAGAGCUUCACAUUCACGAAACACAUAAUAUUAUAUAAAAGAGGCGUGGUUGAAAUUGUUGCUAUAUGCUUUUCGUCCCCAUAGGUUUUACUCUGGGUUGUUUGUUUAGGUGGUUUUGCUAAGAAAUGGGGAUUUGGCACGGACACCCCUAUCUCGUGUAAACAACCUUUAGGUUGUAUUAUUUCGGGGAUGACCACUGUAACACACCUUGUACUGUGUAUGGUAACAUAUUGGUGUCAGCAAAACAUGGAAAGUAAAUCGGUCAUUUUACGUCAGUUAUGUAAUGUAAUAUAAUUCUUGUCAAUAUCCGAGUGCUGAACGGCUUGUAUGACACCCCUCCCCCACUUUUUUCCCACUGUGUAUGCAUGGCAGGACUUUGCCUUACGGAAAUCUAAUGCAGUGUGGUUUAGCUGUGGAACAGGAGGUUACAAGAGACAUAUCUCCUGAAAAGUAAAUUUAGUUUCUGUUGUUGCAGCGCACUACGUGGUCUAUGCAUUAUCUCAACUAGACAUGUUGCUUGCAUUUGGUUUCACAACAAGCAUUAAAGUUACGUUCCCCCAUCUCAAAUUUGUUCUGAAGUUUUGUGAUCACUCCUCACGAAAUACUGAAGUCUGCGCUGCCGCUGUGUAAAAAAAAACGGUUGAGUAAGUGGCGGUAAAUUCCAGCGCGUGAAGACCCUCGUUCUUCACAGAGAGCAUAUAGUGACUUACUAACACAUUCUGUGCAGUUCACAGCAUACUAUUAUUUGGGAGUUAAAGGAAAAGGAAGGAAUCUGUAAAGGGACUUCAAAAUGGAAACGAAAAUUGGUCAAAAGGAGAAGCCAAAGUUUGCUCCCCCGUCAGCUCGUGCCAAGCAGCGUCAGGUUAAAGAAACGACCAAGUCAAAGGAUGGAGACACGAAGCCAAAUAUUCCAAGAGAGAUUAAUGAAAAGAUAGCAACAGAUACAGAAGAACAGGACUAUGGAAUUGAAGAAGUAGGAGUUGUUUUUAAAAAGGCUAUAAAUUUGAGUGAGAAGCAAAAGCCUUGUGCAGGCACAGGAGGGAAAAAAAAGGUAGGGGGUCAAGAUGACCAAGCAGGAGGUAUGGUGACAUUUUCAGAAAGUCAGUCUCUCUCGGAAAUAAAUGAUGAAGCAGGGAGGGAGGGUGCUGAGAAGAAAGAGAAAAAGGAAAAAUUGAAGAAUAAAGCGGAGGAACCAGACACCGGGGGAGAUGAGGAUGCCGAUGGGAUGACAAAGAAAAAUAAACAUGUGCAAAGGACAGGAGACACUGGGGCUGCACAAAAAAACAGGAAGGAGAAAAAGAGGAAAGAGAAGACUGAACAGAUGCCCAAGGCCCAAGAGAAAAGAGAGCAUGUGGAAAAGGUAUUGAGGAAAGUGAUUUGAGCCAUUAACAGUGUUCUCCCCUGUAUAUAUUAUAAUCCCUCUCAAAACUGUUAGGCUAAGUAUUUAUUGUGUUGAAGGAUGUUUUUAUAGUAGAGUAUGGUGUACAUAAGUUAAAGGGGGUGAGGGGGUAUUGAUCCAUCUUCACAGUAGGGAACUAUAUUUUAAGGCCUACCAGCACAGGCCUGACAUGUUUGUAUUGUGGCAAAUGUGUCAGUUUCACACUAUAGUUUAAUUUUGUUGUACUAAUUACAACCAACCUGGUGUGGAGUACAUCCAUGACCAUUUUGGAGCAGUUACUCCAACCUUGUGACCUUUAGCUAUGAAGUGCAGCAUUGUUGCAAUUAAGCAUGAGUGCUUGUGAGGCCCACACCAAAUAUUCUCAGUUAGUACCACACUUUUCUGUGUCCUCACCUGAAAGGUUUGUGAAUGUGAUAUGGACAGGGUCUCAUCCAGCC